rnacentral:lncRNA from 1 species
ACACAUCUAACCACUCUUCAGCUGAUAUCCACUUGCUGACAAAUGAAUCUCUCUGGCCCCUGGACUGUGCCCUGAAACACAGCUUAAAACAGCAGAAUGAACAGUAAUCCCAGAGAUCCUGAGAUGAGAAAAGGGUGUUUGACUUAUUCAAAGAAGACCAAGGAAGCCCAAAGACCAGAGAAGAGUGCAGGAAAGGGGCGGCGGUCUGAGAUGCAGUCAGAGCAGUGGCAAGCCCCCAGAGUCUGUGGCAAAGACUUCAGGUUUCAUCCUGAAGAGGAAGACAGGUCUUUGGAGAGUUUUGAUCAAGGAAGUGAGAUGAAAUAUCUUAGGCUUACAAAGAACUACUCUGACAUCUAAAUGGAAAAUGGACUGAUGAAGCAAAAGAAGCCACAAGGAAGCCAGUUCAGAGGCUAUUGAAAUGCUCCAGAUACUCAGAGAGUGAGAGCCUUCAGAUUUGGGUGAGUGAUGCCAUUAGAACCAAGAUUUCUUCCAUUCUUCUGCUCUAUCAUUCUCAGCACAACAUGCUUUUCUCAUUAAGGCCGCUGUGGUUCGUCUUCUGCCUGGGAACUGGAUAAAAACAUCAGUGAAUACCCCAAAGAUUUUCAAAAAUGCUUGUUGAUAAAAUGAAGUCAGAAUGUGAGAUGAGCCCUAUAUUAGGUAUUGAGGGUUCAGGGAUGAACUAAGCUGAUCUGGUUCCUGCUCUCUAGGCUGUAGAAGAUGGCAAGUGCUGUGGACUUCAAAGAAAAGAUUUCUGAAGUGUCAUGUUAUGACAAUUGUGAUGCUUCAAACUAUGUUGACUAUUCAUUUACAGCAUAAAGAAGAGUGAGCCACUUUAUCACUGCAGUAAUUAUAUUUUAAAAAUAAAGAAAAUAAAACAAAUGGAGUUUCCCACCCAAUCCAUGGAGACACAGACACGAAGUCUUACUAUAGAUGUGUGGCCAAUCCUUACAUUGCUUUUAUUACAAGCCUGGAAAUGACAAUAAAAUACAUGAACUUGAGAGUAUAUA